UGAGUCGCCCGGGUGACCGCGGUGUCGCCAGACAUCGAGGAAAGUCGGGGCUUCACAGGGCAGAACGCUGGCGAGAGCCAGGUCGGGGCGACCUGACGGACAGUGCAACAGAGAACAGACCGCCGAUGGGCGCAAGCCACAGGCAAGGGUGAAACGGUGCGGUAAGGGCGCACCAGCGUGCGGAGCGAUCCGCACGGCUCGGCAAACCCCGUUCGAAGCAAGGCCAAGCAGGAGGAGGGCUGCCCGCCCGCCGGAAGGCAACCUCCGGGUAGGCCGCUCAGAUGGAUGGUCACCGCUCGCGCGAGCGAGCACAGAACCCCGCUUACAGGGCGACUCACCGU
rnacentral:RNase_P_RNA from 1 species